GCUCAGGUGCCCUUGACCACAGCAGUGAGCAUUCCAUCAAUUCCUCACAAUUCUGUGAUGCCACCUUUGUCAUCCAUCCUGAGCAAACCCAGGCACUGCAUGCUGGGAAGAGGCAGACUGAACAUCAGCACUGCUUUCAGCUCCGCUUGUCACAGGGUACUUCCUCCUGAUGAGCUUGAUCCCUGCCUUGCACUGCGGCUAGCAUCCGCUCUAUUGGCCGUGUAAUUCUGAAGGGUGUCUAUGCAGCGCAUCAGAGAGCAUCUGGGACCUGGACCCCAAGAUAAGAUGUGAAAGAAGAGGAAGGAUCCUUAGGGAGCACCAGCCAGGUCCUGGCACCCCACCCGGACCCCCAGGACCAGUAUCAUCCUGAUCUAUUCCCUAUAUCACAGAUUCCUCACCGUCUUCAGAUCUGAGAGUUGACCGCUUGUGUGUCACAGCUGACCAGCUGAGGGGAGAGUGGAUUGAAUCCCGGGAGGCUGAGUGCCCCCUGAAGGCCCACUGUGUGGACAGGUCUAGUGGUCGGCAUACCACGCCACAGGAUAUGGAGGUUGGAAGC